AACGAACGCUGGCGGCAUGCCUAACACAUGCAAGUCGAACGAGACCUCCGGGUUUAGUGGCGCACGGGUGCGUAACGCGUGGGAUCCUGCCCUUAGGCUCGGAAUAACUCCCCGAAAGGGGUGCCAAUACCGGAAAAAAUCCUCGGACCAAAGAUUUGUCGCCUUUGGAUGGGCCUGCGUUGGAUUAGCUAGUUGGUAGGGUAAAAGCCUAUCAAGGCGACGAUCCAUAGCUGGUCUGAGAGGAUGAUCAGCCACACUGGGAUUGGGACACGGCCCAGAAUCCUACGGGAGGCAGCAGUGGGGGAUAUUGGACAAUGGGCGAUAGGCUGAUCCAGCAAUGCCGGGUGAGUAAUGAAGGCCUUAGGGUUGUGAAGCUCUUUUACCCGAGAUGAUGAUGACAGUACCGGGAGAAUAAGCACCGGCUAACUCCGUG
rnacentral:rRNA from 1 species